rnacentral:rRNA from 1 species
GAGGCAGCAGUAGGGAAUCUUCCGCAAUGGACAAAGUCUGACGGAGCAACGCCGCGUGAGUGAUGAAGGUUUUCGGAUCGUAAAGCUCUGUUGUUAGGGAAGAACAAGUACCGUUCGAAUAGGGCGGUACCUUGACGGUACCUAACCAGAAAGCCACGGCUAACUACGUGCCAGCAGCCGCGGUAAUACGUAGGAGGCAAGCGUUGUCCGGAAUUAUUGGGCGUAAAGCGCGCGCAGGCGGUUUCUUAAGUCUGAUGUGAAAGCCCACGGCUCAACCGUGGAGGGUCAUUGGAAACUGGGAAACUUGAGUGCAGAAGAGGAGAGUGGAAUUCCACGUGUAGCGGUGAAAUGCGUAGAUAUGUGGAGGAACACCAGUGGCGAAGGCGACUCUCUGGUCUGUAACUGACGCUGAGGCGCGAAAGCGUGGGGAGCAAACAGGAUUAGAUACCCUGGUAGUCCACGCCGUAAACGAUGAGUGCUAGGUGUCGGGGGGUACCACCCUCGGUGCUGCAGCUAACGCAUUAAGCACUCCGCCUGGGGA